UACGGGGGGGGCAAGCGUUGUUCGGAAUUACUGGGCGUAAAGGGCCAGUAGGCGGCCAACUAAGUCGGAUGUGAAAUCCCCAGGCUCAACUUGGGAACUGCAUCCGAUACUGGAUGGCUUGAAUUCGGGAGAGGGAUGCAGAAUUCCAGGUGUAGCGGUGAAAUGCGUAGAUAUCUGGUGGAAUACCGGUGGCGAAGGCGGCAUCCUGGACCGACAUUGACGCUGAACGGCGAAAGCUAGGGGAGCAAACGGG
rnacentral:rRNA from 1 species